AGAGUUUGAUCCUGGCUCAGAGUGAACGCUGGCGGCAGGCCUAACACAUGCAAGUCGAGCGGCAGCGCGGGGGCAACCCUGGCGGCGAGCGGCGGACGGGUGAGGAAUGCAUCGGAAUCUACCUCGNUUGUGGGGGAUAACGUAGGGAAACUUACGCUAAUACCGCAUACGACCUACGGGUGAAAGUGGGGGACCUUCGGGCCUCACGCGAUGAGAUGAGCCGAUGCCGGAUUAGCUAGUUGGUGGGGUAAAGGCCUACCAAGGCGACGAUCCGUAGCUGGUCUGAGAGGAUGAUCAGCCACACUGGAACUGAGACACGGUCCAGACUCCUACGGGAGGCAGCAGUGGGGAAUAUUGGACAAUGGGCGCAAGCCUGAUCCAGCCAUGCCGCGUGUGUGAAGAAGGCCUUCGGGUUGUAAAGCACUUUUGUUGGGGAAGAAACCGACCGGAUUAAUACUUCGGUUGAAUGACGGUACCCAAAGAAUAAGCACCGGCUAACUUCGUGCCAGCAGCCGCGGUAAUACGAAGGGUGCAAGCGUUACUCGGAAUUACUGGGCGUAAUGCGUGCGUAGGCGGUUAGUUAAGUCUGCUGUGAAAGCCCUGGGCUCAACCUGGGAACUGCANUGGAUACUGGCUAGCUAGAGUGUGUCAGAGGAUGGUGGAAUUCCCGGUGUAGCGGUGAAAUGCGUAGAGAUCGGGAGGAACACCAGUGGC
rnacentral:rRNA from 1 species